CGGUGGGGAUUAGUGGCGAACGGGUGAGUAACACGUGGGCAAUCUGCCCUGCACUCUGGGACAAGCCCUGGAAACGGGGUCUAAUACCGGAUACUGACCCGCUUGGGCAUCCAAGCGGUUCGAAAGCUCCGGCGGUGCAGGAUGAGCCCGCGGCCUAUCAGCUUGUUGGUGAGGUAAUGGCUCACCAAGGCGACGACGGGUAGCCGGCCUGAGAGGGCGACCGGCCACACUGGGACUGAGACACGGCCCAGACUCCUACGGGAGGCAGCAGUGGGGAAUAUUGCACAAUGGGCGAAAGCCUGAUGCAGCGACGCCGCGUGAGGGAUGACGGCCUUCGGGUUGUAAACCUCUUUCAGCAGGGAAGAAGCGAAAGUGACGGUACCUGCAGAAGAAGCGCCGGCUAACUACGUGCCAGCAGCCGCGGUAAUACGUAGGGCGCGAGCGUUGUCCGGAAUUAUUGGGCGUAAAGAGCUCGUAGGCGGCUUGUCGCGUCGGUUGUGAAAGCCCGGGGCUUAACCCCGGGUCUGCAGUCGAUACGGGCAGGCUAGAGUUCGGUAGGGGAGAUCGGAAUUCCUGGUGUAGCGGUGAAAUGCGCAGAUA
rnacentral:rRNA from 1 species